AUACCGGAUAGAGCAUCGAUCGCUGGAAUGCAUGAUGCUCGAAAACUGAGGCGCCAAAGGAUAGGUCUGCGGCCGAUUAGGUUGUUGUUGAUGUAACGGAUCAACAAGCCUCCGAUCGGUAUGGGUUGUGAGAGCAAUAGCCCAGAGAUGGGUUCUGAGAGAAGAACCCAGGUCCUACGGGACGCAUCAGGCGCGAAAACUUUACAAUGUGCGAAAGCACGAUAAGGGAACUCUGAGUGCCUCCUAAGGAGGCUGUUCAGGUGUCUAAAAAGCAUCUGAAGGAAGGGCUGGGUAAGACCGGUGCCAGCCGCCGCGGUAACACCGGCAGCCCAAGUGGUGGCCACUUUUACUGGGUCUAAAGCGUUCGUAGCCGGCCAGGUAAGUUCCUUGGGAAAUUUGACCGCUUAACGGUCAAGCUUUCAGGGAAUACUGCGUGGCUUGAGACCGGGAGAGGUCAGAGGUACCUCAAGGGUAGGGGUGAAAUCCGUUAAUCCUUGGGGGACCACCAGUAGCGAAGGCGUCUGACCAGAGCGGAUCCGACGGUCAGGAACGAAGGCUAGGGUAGCGAACCGGAUUAGAUACCCGGGUAGUCCUAGCAGUAAACGAUGCGGGCUA
rnacentral:rRNA from 1 species